rnacentral:rRNA from 1 species
UACGGGGGGGGCAAGCGUUGUUCGGAAUUACUGGGCGUAAAGGGCUCGUAGGUGGCCAACUAAGUCAGACGUGAAAUCCCUCGGCUUAACCGGGGAACUGCGUCUGAUACUGGAUGGCUUGAGUUCGGGAGAGGGAUGCGGAAUUCCAGGUGUAGCGGUGAAAUGCGUAGAUAUCUGGAGGAACACCAAUGGCGAAGGCAGCUCGCUGGGACGGUACUGACGCUGAGGCGCGAAAGCGUGGGGAGCAAACAGG